rnacentral:rRNA from 1 species
AUUGAACGCUGGCGGCAUGCCUUACACAUGCAAGUCGAACGGCAGCACGGGCUUCGGCCUGGUGGCGAGUGGCGAACGGGCGAGUACUACCUCGGAACGUGCCCUGUCGUGGGGGCUAACUAGUCGAAAGAUUAGCUAAUACCGCAUACGACCUGAGGGUGAAAGCGGGGGACCGUAAGGCCUCGCGCGCUCGGAGCGGCCGAUGUCUGAUUAGCUAGUUGGUGGGGUAAGAGCCUACCAAGGCGACGGACAGUAGCUGGUCUGAGAGGACGAUCAGCCACACUGGGACUGAGACACGGCCCAGACUCCUACGGGAGGCAGCAGUGGGGAAUUUUGGACAAUGGGGGCAACCCUGAUCCAGCAAUGCCGCGUGUGUGAAGAAGGCCUUCGGGUUGUAAAGCACUUUUGUCCGGAAAGAAAUCGCGCUGGUUAAUACCUGGCGUGGAUGACGGUACCGGAAGAAUAAGCACCGGCUAACUACGUGCCAGCCGCCGCCGUAACAC